rnacentral:rRNA from 1 species
ACACCUGUGCAUCUUGACUCUGAGCUUGUAAUGAGCGAGGGGUAUUUUACUACACACUUUGUAUGUAUGUGAUAGAAACUGUGCAUAGCACGAAAAAUAACAACUUUUAACAACGGAUCUCUUGGCUCUCGCAUCGAUGAAGAACGCAGCGAAAUGCGAUAAGUAAUGUGAAUUGCAGAAUUCAGUGAAUCAUCGAAUCUUUGAACGCACCUUGCACCCUUUGGUAUUCCGAAGGGUAUGCCCGUUUGAGUGUCAUUGUAAUCUCACACCAACAUUUAUUUGUUGGAGGUGGACUUGGAGGUUGCUGUUGAAAAACGGCUCUUCUUAAAUGUAUUAGUGCGGCUCUGGUUGGACUUGAGCCCGAUGUAAUAAAAUUUCAUCGUGGUGUCUGAUCAAAUUGAGUCUGUGCUUCUAACCGUCUUCGGACAAACUAUUUGACAACUUGGCCUCAAAUCGGGUAGGACUACCCGCUGAACUUAAGCAUAUCAAUAAGCGGAGGAA